GGCAAGACAGUGGUGGUGCUGGUUGUAGAAACAGGCUGUCUCUGCCCAGCCAUCUUCUGCCUUUAUGCCUUCCUCAAUCCCUGCUUCCCACUGAAGCCACCUGGAACCACCCAACCAUCAACAACCACCACCAUGAUGUCAGCAGCCAUCAAUAUUGAGGCAAACUUCCACCAGCAAAAAGUUUACAACUCACUGAAAGCUCAGAUGAUGGUGUGUCUGUGAAGAUCAUUCCAGAAGAAAUCAGCAUUUGAAUUGGUGGACUGAGUAGAGAAGAUGACCAACCUUCACCAAUGCAGUUAUAGAGUCCUGUUCUCAGAGGAAAACUUAGCAAAAAUCCCAAUA